AGGACGCCGUGGCCAGGGUUUGCAGGAGACUCUCCUGCCCAUAGGAUGGCUGGGUCUCUAAGGAAAGUUGAAUAAUGCCAGCGCCUGCCUCUUGGGUGCAAUAGAAAGUAUGAUAGUAAGAUCAAACCAGUCAGGGGAAUCAAACCCAAAAGCCAGAAGAGGUCAUUGGGAGGACCCCUGGAUGAGUGACUUGUCUUGCCACGUGGGCCAUUUUCACUUGGUGGUUCUCAACUUUGUAUUUGAGGUGUUUGUAGGGAAAAGUGACAAGGAAGUAGACGCCUUUGGAAUGCCACUGUCAUCCUAUAACUCUCUCACUCACCACCUGAUAUGUGGGCUGCUCUGAGAUGUCAUUUCUGCCUCCUGGACAAGGCCUCAAUGUCUAAAAUGGUUUAAACAAGGGGACUCUACUGGAAACAUACAAAAAGAAUUGGAGCAGGA
rnacentral:lncRNA from 1 species